GAGGUCCUACGGGGGGCAGCAGUGAGGAAUAUUGGUCAAUGGCCGCAGGGCUGAACCAGCCAAGUCGCGUGAGGGAUGACGGUCCUAUGGAUUGUAAACCUCUUUUGUCAGGGAGCAAAGGGCGCCACGUGUGGCGUUUUGCGAGUACCUGAAGAAAAAGCAUCGGCUAACUCCGUGCCAGCAGCCGCGGUAAUACGGAGGAUGCGAGCGUUAUCCGGAUUUAUUGGGUUUUAAGGGUGCGCAGGCCGGCUUUUAAGUCAGCUGUGAAAGUCCGCGGCUCAACCGUGGAAUUGCAGUUGAAACUG
rnacentral:rRNA from 1 species